GUAAUAGCUCACUGGUCGAGUCGGCCUGCGCGGAAGAUGUAACGGGGCUAAACCAUGCACCGAAGCUGCGGCAGCGACGCUUAUGCGUUGUUGGGUAGGGGAGCGUUCUGUAAGCCUGCGAAGGUGUGCUGUGAGGUAUGCUGGAGGUAUCAGAAGUGCGAAUGCUGACAUAAGUAACGAUAAAGCGGGUGAAAAGCCCGCUCGCCGGAAGACCAAGGGUUCCUGUCCAACGUUAAUCGGGGCAGGGUGAGUCGA
rnacentral:rRNA from 1 species